AACGACCACCAAAAAUUUAAUCUAGCAAUUUCGAUCUUCUUCGAGAUAGAUAACAGUGUCGAUAUCUUUCAUGAAAAUCGCCCUCCCCACCCAGUAUCCUCCAUGAGUUCGUCGAGCAAAUCAGCACAGAUACAGGGUUGUUGCUGUUGCAAGCCUAAGAGGAGAUUUUGCUAUUUUGGGGAUGAAUAUUACUAAAGGUGAAGGAAAUUUACCCAAGGUUGUGCUCACUUCUUCGAGUGGCAGGUUAAGUUUUUCGAUCUUCGCCUUAAUUUUAGAACUGAUUUUGAUUUUUCUAAUUGCUUGUCAUGUUGCAAGUUGAACUUCUGCGAAUAAGGAUUAAAAUAUUGAUGUUGAUAUUGAUAUCCAUAUUUCAAUUUUAUGGAUAUUUCUAUAAGUCACAAAAUUUAUAAAAUUUAUUUAGAUUAAUAAUUAAAUUGUUUUUUUUCUCCAAAACUAAGUUAUGGAUUAUUAUAGGUAGUUUCGGAUCAGUAAAAGGUCAAAGGUAAUGACCGAACCAAGAAAGUUACAUAGCCUUAAAAAACAGAUCUCAGUUAGGAGCAUGUCCAGGAGAGUUUCAACAGAUAAAUGAAAAAGAGUUGUACUCAAAAGAGCCCACUUGACCCUCCUCAUCCUCGGAGGCUAAGGCCAAACCCAAGCAACCUCUUUAAGUGAUGUCAAUCCGAAUUGACCCUCUUUGUUGGAACAUCCUCAGUGGCCCAACCCAAGACCUACAUGUCCGAUUUCAAAAUAAGAAAAAGAAAUAGAUCUCCUCAGGGGAGGUGACAUUUUCUCUAAAUUAUAAAUUCACUUUUGGCGGCAUGCGAAAGUCAAGUGAGUUCGCUAGACCGAAUUUUGUCAUCAACAUGGUUAUUGUUAUUAGUAAUCAUAUCUCACAUAAAACUAAAUAAGUGACAUUUGGUAUGUUUUAUAAGUAUUUAUAAAAGAUGUUAUAAAGAUCCAUUUAAAUUUGCCCAUUCCAAGAAAAUAAAAUCAUGUUUACUAUGUACACUAUACUAAUGGUGGGAGAAAAAACUGCGGCAAUGGAGGAAAACUAAUGAGACCCAUGUGAUUGGAUCAAGAGAUUGACGAGAGUUUGGAUCUGCUGUAGCAUUAUUUUAAGAUCGAGAUUGUUAUUUUAUUAAUAGAAAAAGAGCCGAGAUUACCUACAAAAGACGUGUUUGUCAAAGCACUGACAACGUUCCUUUUGUGAUAGUGGAGGCAUUCCACAUUGUUCCCUUAAUUUGGACCUGACCCUAUUCAACAGGUAUCACUCUUUGUACGUUUUGAUUACUACAAGCAGUGUUCUUUUUUAUUUUUUUUUGGUCAUAUUGCAUUUAUCCUUCGGAGCUAUUGAUAACCACAGUUGUCGAUGUGAGAAUUUGUCAGUUAUAUCCGAUCCAGUUUUUAAAUGCAUGAUUUUAUAAAAUCAUGUUAGAGUGUAUAUUUUUCUAACCGUUUAGUUGACCA